CCUACGGGGGGCAGCAGUGAGGAAUAUUGGUCAAUGGACGCAAGUCUGAACCAGCCAUGCCGCGUGCAGGAAGACGGCUCUAUGAGUGGUAAACUGCUUUUGUACGAGGGUAAACGCAGAUACGUGUAUCUGUAUGAAAGUAUCGUACGAAUAAGGAUCGGCUAACUCCGUGCCAGCAGCCGCGGUAAUACGGAGGAUUCAAGCGUUAUCCGGAUUUAUUGGGUUUAAAGGGUGCGUAGGCGGUCGGAUAAGUUAGAGGUGAAAUCCCGAGGCGCAAUUUCGGAAUUGCCUCUGAUACUGUUCGGCUAGAGAGUAGUUGCGGUAGGCGGAAUGUAUGGUGUAGCGGUGAAAUGCUUAGAGAUCAUACAGAACACCGAUUGCGAAGGCAGCUUACCAAGCUACUUCUGACGUUGAGGCACGAAAGCGUGGGGAGCAAACAGGAUUAGAUACCCCUGUAGUC
rnacentral:rRNA from 1 species